rnacentral:rRNA from 1 species
UGGGGAAUAUUGCACAAUGGGCGAAAGCCUGAUGCAGCGACGCCGCGUGAGGGAUGACGGCCUUCGGGUUGUAAACCUCUUUCAGCAGGGAAGAGGCGAAAGUGACGGUACCUGCAGAAGAAGCGCCGGCUAACUACGUGCCAGCAGCCGCGGUAAUACGUAGGGCGCAAGCGUUGUCCGGAAUUAUUGGGCGUAAAGAGCUCGUAGGCGGUUAGCCGCGUCUGCUGUGAAAACUCGAGGCUCAACCUCGGGCUUGCAGUGGGUACGGGCUGACUAGAGUGCGGUAGGGGUGACUGGAAUUCCUGGUGUAGCGGUGGAAUGCGCAGAUAUCAGGAGGAACACCGAUGGCGAAGGCAGGUCACUGGGCCGCAACUGACGCUGAGGAGCGAAAGCAUGGGGAGCGAACAGGAUUAGAUAGCCCUGGUAGUCCAUGCCGUAAAC